UUUAUUUGUUGCCAUUUUUUAAAGUGAUGGAUUUGAUAAAUGAGAGUUUACAUUUGUCACUACAACAAAAACGGUCUAUAGCGACACUUUUAAAUGUAGGUACAUGUCAAAAAAGUGCUGCUAACUAAAAUUACCAACACUUUUAAAAAGUGUUGGUAUAUGUGGGGUCGCUAGGUAUAUAGUGACAAUUAAAGAGUGUCGCUAUAACCUAAAAGAGUGCUGCUAAUUU
rnacentral:lncRNA from 1 species